CCCUUUCAUAAGGAAUAUUGUUAUGCCCUCAUUGCCUCCAAAUGGUACACAUCACAGGCCCUGUUUUCUUUGUGAUGAGUUAUUCCAAGUGCUGCACAGACUAUACACUGCGUUUCUUGAGGGAUAGCUACUACCGCAGCUACUUUCAUGUUCAUUCAGUACCUCUUGAUUCCUAACACAGAACUCAUUUGUACCCACUCUGACUAACCCAGCCCAGAAGGUAUCAGAGGAGACUCAAGAGUUGAAUUGCACAAACUCUGUGUGGCAGUGGUGUCUACAUUUGCUCUUGGUUCUGGUGAAAUGCUGUGUAAAUUUGAUUACGCUGGACGACAGUCAACCUUUUUACCACCCAGACUAGGGCAAAGUACAGCUAAAACAACGUCAGCACCUUCAUAUGAAUGUUGGCUUUGGCAAGCUGUGAAAUGUGUUCCUUCCUGUCCAUAUCGACUCAUAUUGAUCCAAAAUUACAAGGGUCUCCAUGAACACUCUUGCACUUUGCUAUAUCUGUAAGAGAAGAGCUGCAGAGAAAAGUUCCACAAAUCUGCUGUAAGUGAUUUCACAAAACAAACAGUAACAGACACAUUCCUUCCAGUCUUGUCUCAGGUCAAGAGCUUGUAAACUGUGUGCAAUAUAAUCUGUCCUUAAAAUAUAGAAAAGCAAAAAUGUUACCAUUCUGUACAAGUCUCUGAAAUAUCUUGGCCUUUGCAGCCCUUAAGAACCAUUUGGAUUUUCAACUUUAGAGGUUGCCUAGCACAUCACAAUGACAAACAAUUAACACAUUCUACGGAUCUUCCUUCGAUGGUUCAAGUAAUCCCAGGAUUCAAAUGUUAUUAGACUUCCAAGAGCUUUGGAAACUUCAAAUUUUUCCUGCCUGCAUUAUCCUUUCCCAGGCUAUCAACAGCUGUUUUCAUUCUUAAUAGCUAUGUCCCAGUUGUGCCUCUCCAUAGCCUUCCUAAUGCCCUCUGCAGAUUUGUCUGCAAUUAUACAUCUAAGCUCCUUGUAGACAGAAAACCAGGGAAGGAACAAAUUUCUCUGACAGCAGUGAUUUGAUUUAGAGCAGAGAAUUCCAGAGCAAUUCUGAAACCCGGGUUCAAAUCUAUAUUGAGAUCUCAACUCAUACUGGGUGGUCAUUGGUAAAUCAUUAUCUUAAACACAGCU
rnacentral:lncRNA from 1 species